AGCUUUGCGCAGUGGCGAUAUCGUAACCAAUGAGGUACAUCCGAGGUGCGAUUAUUGCUAGUUGAAAACUAAAACUAAAAACUAAACUAAUAAUCAAUUUCCAUAUACAUAAACGCUUUUACUAUG
rnacentral:snRNA from 1 species